CUUGGCAGCAAGAGGCGAUGAAGGACGUGGCACUCUGCGAUAAGCCCGGGGGAGGCGAGAGCACCCUUGAUCCCGGGAUGUCCGAAUGGGGAAACCCACCUGACACUCGAUUGUUGUCGACCCAGGUCGAUCAACAAUCAGGUGAACCAGGUACUUUUUACCUGAAUACAUAGGGUUAAAAGAGCAAACGCGGGGAACUGAAACAUCUCAGUACCCGCAGGAAAGGAAAUCAACCGAUACUCCGUCAGUAGCGGCGAGCGAACGCGGACCAGCCGAGCCCUGAGAGGUAGCAGAACCAGUUGGGAAACUGGGCGACAUGGGUGAUAGCCCCGUAUGCGAAAACUCGAUGGGCCACAUUAAGUAGGGCGGGACACGUGAAAUCCUGUCUGAAGAUCGGGGG
rnacentral:rRNA from 1 species